rnacentral:misc_RNA from 1 species
GAAAUGCGAUAAGUAAUGUGAAUUGCAGAUACAGUGAAUCAUCGAAUCUUUGAACGCUAAUGGCACUCUAUGGUAUUCCGUAGAGUACGUCUGUUUGAGCGUCGCGAACAUCUCCAUAAUUAGUUUUUUUAAAUUGAUUAAUGGUUUUCAGGUUGUCAUUGUAUUAUGACUUCCUUUAUAAUGAUUAGUGAUGACCUUAUGAAUGGGUUAAUACUGUGUGUUAUAAUGGAUGACAUCCAGCACCAGUCAGAGAGCAAUCUCGCCUUAGUAAUUUUUAUUGAUUGCUUCUAAUCGCCUUUUUGGCAACCUAAAUGAUCAAAUCGACCUCAAAUCAGAUGGGAUUACCCGCUGAACUUAA